rnacentral:rRNA from 1 species
UACAGAGGUCCCAAGCGUUGUUCGGAUUCACUGGGCGUAAAGGGUGCGUAGGCGGUCAGGUAAGUCUGAUGUGAAAUCUCUGGGCUUAACCCAGAAAUGGCAUUGGAUACUAUUUGGCUUGAGAGUUGGAGGGGGGACUGGAAUUCUUGGUGUAGCAGUGAAAUGCGUAGAUAUCAAGAGGAACACCGAUGGCGAAGGCAGGUCUCUGGGCCAUUACUGACACUGAGAAGCGAAAGCAUGGGGAGCGAACAGG